rnacentral:rRNA from 1 species
UACGAGGGGUCCAAGCGUUGUUCGGAAUCACUGGGCGUAAAGCGGGCGUAGGUGGCUCUGUAAGUCAGGGGUGAAAGCCCCGAGCUUAACUUGGGAAGUGCUUUUGAUACUGCAGAGCUUGAGUGUGGGAGAGGAUCGUGGAAUUCCUGGUGUAGUGGUGAAAUACGUAGAUAUCAGGAGGAACACCGGUGGCGAAGGCGGCGAUCUGGCCCAACACUGACACUGAGACCCGAAAGCGUGGGGAGCAAACAGG